rnacentral:lncRNA from 1 species
GAUAUUAUAACGUACAAAUAAAUUAUUCAUGAGCUUAGCUUAGUUGGUAGGAAUAUUACAUAUAUUAUAUGGGAACCGGGGUUUGAACUCCAAUCAAUCCACUUAUUCACCUUUAAGGUGGAAUUUCAAGACAAUAAACUAGUAGACCAAAAACCAUUAUAUGCUUAUUAAUACAAUAUAAUUAUAUAAAUAUUUUUCAGAUUACUCAAGUGGAAUCCAAAAGUGGUGUGCACUGACAAAGCAAAUUUUUGCAAAUGGCAAUCAUAGGAAAGAUACACAUAGUCGUUGGACAAUCGCCGGGUCUUUUGCAUUCAUCUGGGAAUUGAAACAAUAAUAAAGAAAUGUUACCAAAAAAAAUGAAUUUUUUAUUUUUUUUUGAAGCAUGAAAAUGAAAUGUUUUGUAAAACAUAAGAGGUAAAUAAUGUCAAGAAUUACUUACGUCCAUUGGUUACCACAAGAAAAAGAGAAAGAAUAAUUAAUAUAGUAAAAAUAUUAGCCAUAUUUUUUCUACUUUGCAUCUAAUAAAUGAAACCAUGUUUAAACAAUUUAUAAGUAUAAUUUUUUUGCUUGUUAACUUCAAGUAAAGAGUUUUUAAAUAAUUUUGUUGCUUAUUGAAAAAAAAA